UACUGGUCUUUGCACGCUCGAGAACUUGGUCUGAAGUUCGAGCUUCUCUUUUUUUGGGCUUUAAUUUGAGUGCUUUACUUUAUACUAUGUUCGAUAUGUUUUGGUAGGAAGAAGAGGUUGUUGGGACUGGCUUGACUAUCUUAAUUUAGUCUGCCUUAGUAUGGAACCAAAUGAACUGGAGAAGAGAUGAAAUAUAAAUGUAAACAACUUAUAGAUAAAUUCAACAAAACAACUGUAGCUGUGGUAAGGUUGCUUGGGCACAUGUGAGUUUGAUUCUUAAUAUGAUGUAACACCCUAAAAAAAAUCUGUUCUUUUUGAAAUAGUUGAAAAAGAUUUAAUUUUGUAUUUUUGUGUUCAUGAAAUAUAGAGAAAUAAUAUUCUUCAUUAAGUUAAAAUUUAUUCUAGGCUUAGCAACAUGGUGGUGCAUUCAUAUUGGAGCAUAUGUUUUAUUCCAUGUGUGGUUUUGAUCAAAGUCAAAAUGUUUUCAGAUUUAUUUUAAACUGUUUUGAAAAGACUUUGAAAUAAAAAGAAACAAAAAAGAAACAAAAGAACAGAAAAGAAAAAAAACCUUCUGCUUUUGGCCCGAAGGCCCUAUCCUCCCUCCCCUUUCCUUCUCUCUUGGCCUCGGCCCAAGCCGCGCCCUCCCUCUCCCCUUCCCUUCUUCACGCCGCGGCCAAGACCAGAGCAAUCGGCCCAGCACAGCAGAGAGCCCCCGCGCCUUCUCUCCCCUCUCUCUGUUUGGAUGACGAACGGGCCCCGCUUUUUCUUUCACUGACAGCCGACCCCGCAGCGCAGUUUCCUGUUCUUCUUCCCCGCGUAUCCGACCAGGAUCCUUUCCCCUCCAGCACCGAGCCGAUCCCGAAACCCUGGGAUCUCCUUGCUAUCUUGUGCGCCAAGCUCCUAUAAAGGCUCAAGGACCUCCCCGCGACCUCCCUUUGUCGUUUUCCGCAUCCCGGGAGCCCUAGCCGUCACGUUCAUCGAGUUUUGGAUCUCCCCGAAAAACUCCUCCGCGACCCGAUCUCUCCGCUCGUUCUCGGCCCA
rnacentral:lncRNA from 1 species